AUCUUUAGGUGUUCCAUUUGUCCUCUGUGGGCAGGGCAUAAGCACAUUUGAAGCAGUUACCUGGUUUUUGGCUGAAAGCAUCAAACCCCCUGUGUCCCUUUGCUUUUCUCUAAUUUUUAUUCAUCUCCAUCACAUUCGACCUUGUUCCUCCCCACUCCCCCUCUACAUGUCUGUCUUAUGUAGCAGUGGGAGACUGAUGAGUCCACCUGGACUCCCUGGUGUGUGAGAUGUCCCUGUGAGAGUGAAACACACCAUCCUCCUAGUCUCGCUAAGUGUGUGUUUGUAAUCAGAGGCACAAUCCACGCUGCUGCGCUCACAGAUGGUCACACUACAGGAACAACAUUCUGUUCUGUCUCCAAUGGGUCUUGAUUGGUUGCAGAUCAUUACAUCAGCAGUGACAUUAUGAGCUGCCAGUGGUCAUUGAGUGACCUCAGAAACAUCCAAAAUAGGCAUAGCUUAUGCCACUUUUUUUUGUUGUUGUUUUUCAGUUUAAAAAUACUGUCCAAUAUCCAAUACGGCCAAUAUCAGCUAUUUGAUUAAACGUGAACAUUAAUGAUCUGAUAAGUUUUAUAUAAUGUAAUAAUGAUAGGUAAUGUUCCACUUUCGUCACAGAUGAAUUCCAGUUUUUUAUAUUAGGGGUCUUUGGGUCUAUAAAAUUUCCAAACCAUGCUUUACUAGCAGUCCAUUCCUAUUCCACUCCUUUGACCUUAUAAUCAUUUUUUUAAGAAUUGGAUUUUCUUAAUCUAAUUAUAUAGCAGUCAUUUGGUUUUUAAUAAGCCUUAUAUCUAAGUGACAUUGGCUGGCAUUCACUGAGACACGGCUCUGUAUCUCUGUCUCUCCUUUCAGCCUCAUUCUCUUUGUCAGACACACAGCAUUAACCUGCAGUGUAUUAUAAGUAGGUCAAGCUUGAGGUCAAGUAAUGUUGAAUUUUGCUAUCAAAUCAUGCAGUGCUGUUCACCUGGAUAGAAGCAUGACGGCAUUUUUUGCCAAUGAUGAAACUGAAUUUUAUAUUGAAUGAUUUAAAUUAAAUAUGAUUCCUCAUUUCUA